rnacentral:misc_RNA from 1 species
CCCGUUGCUCACUGAGCGACUUUAAACUUGUGGACCAGUCCUUUCGUCAGUGUCCACGUUUCGACUCCGUAUCCGCAUUGCGGAAUCUUCGAAGGGAAAACUCGACGAAGCCUGCCAAACGCCGCCCAGCCCAACCAAGUCAUCCUCUCUCGGCCUCCUUCUCGAAGUUGUUGCGGUCGAGUUGCAUGGUAAGGCAAACAUAAUCCUGAACAACUUCGAGAAGGGUUCCAUUGACCAAUACCGGUCUCGGUAUGACUUGGUUGUUAAACAUAACUUUCGUUUUGUCCAAGUUCAUACCGAGACCGACCCGUCGGGAGGACUCUUUAAGGCCGACCAGCAUUUGGCCUAGCUCAUCCAACGUCUCCGUAAAGACAUUUCGGUAAUAUUACAUAUCCUGUCUUACCCCACGCCGGAAAAAAAUUGGUCUUGGAUAUGAACAUUCAUCGUCGCCGCGUCGUAUAUACGUCUCAGUACCUUGAUAUAUCGCCAGUCGAUAUGACAUCUCUGCAGAGAGUCCAGGACAGCCAAAAUCUCGACCGAGCCGAAGGCUUUGUCGUAAUCCACAAAUCCCAUACAAUGUCAUAUACAGCUUAUAUAAAAACCAAAAAAAAAUCUAACUAUCUUAAUUAUAUAAUUUUGCUUCAAAAGCACAUUCUAAUACACAUUUUACAAAUUAAAAUUUUAGUGAUUAUUAUUUUCAAAAGUUAAGCUACCACCGACUCUUUUGAAAUGAUGAAAAAAUUUGACUUUUGAAAAUUAUAUAUAAACUGUGUUUUAAUACAAAAUUAGUAAUGUCUUGAAGGCAUAUAAGAAAUACAACCACAACAAACAUUACAUUGACCUAUGUAGUCUAUCCCUUUUUAGCUCUUUUAAGAUUGUGAGUCAGCUUUCAAUGUUAUAUAUAAUGUCAAGGACUAUAAAUUCGACUAUAUUACGAAUGGUUCCAAAUAAAAAAUAAUUAAAACCAGUUAAUAUAAUUUGUGAUCUACGUUUAGUAUGUAAUCGCGUGUUACGCGUUUCCAAAUGGCGUCGCUAUUCUAAAUUCUAUAAGCGAUGUAUAGAAUAAAAAGGAGUGUUAUGUCCGUUUUUUAUAAAUAAAGGUUUUGAUAAAGAGUGAGUCAGCUUUCAAUGUUAUAUAUAACGAAAAAAUCGUUAACCUUGGGAACAGAUGACCAUCUGUGUAACAUACACAAGUGAAACGUUUUCUACUUCAAAAACAAGGAAACUUUCUACCUAAUCCUGGUCACUGCAAAUUUGCAAAUAGCGCCUACGGGCUAGUCAUAGUCCAAUAAAAUAAAAUAACUCAGUCUCUAACUUCCAUGCUUCCAUGUAAAAAAAUGUUGUUCGUUUGACAUGUGUUACGUUGACAGUUUGACAGAUAUUGAAAAAAAAAUCAUAGAUUAUAAAAAUACAUGUUGUUCGUUACACGUUAAUAUUAUUGUUAAAAUCGAUGUUUAGAUUGAGUUCGUUUGAGUAAUAGCGCUUGUGUGAACUAGGCUUUAAAAAUAUAUAUUCCUAAAUAUUUAAAAAAAUAAACUGACUUCAAUUGACAUCAACAAGUAAUACACGCAAAAUAAUAAUUUAAACACGCAUUUUUGGCAAUCCUUUUUUAUAUAUAUAUAUAAAGUUUUCCAAAAUUCAAUCUCAUUUUGUUGCGAAUAUAGGUAUACAAAGAUGUCAUCAGUUUAAAUUGUGGCGGGCAAUGUAAUAAUUUUUAUAUGUAGAAUAUUUAAUAAAACUGGAACAAAAAUAUAUUAAAAUACAUUACUGUACACCGUGCAUUUGUAAUUAGGUUUAGUAGUUGAUAACUAUCGUCGCUUUUACUUUUACGACAAUUACCGCGGAUGUUAUUGUGAAACUUGAAUUUUGGCAACGUUAGUCACAGACAGUAUUUUCAAUAACGAUUUUCCAGCUAGAUAUUUUUAUUUUUACUUUUACACAAGCGCUAUACUAACUCUCAUAAACUCGAAAGACGUUUAGCGACUACUUUACUUUUAACUCAGAUACUAUCAGUGUUGUACGUAGACAGAAUUUCCUCUUCCAGACCGUUGAAAGGUAAUCGGAACGGUGAAAAGACAGGGUAGAAAAUUGUUGUCAUUAAGAAAAGUAAUCAAAAAAUGUAAAAAAUAAAUCUGUUGAUUUUUUUUGUAUAACAAAAGCUUUGGAUGAGAUUGUGUAAAGAUUUCCAAGCAGCAUUAUUGUGAACUAAGUAGGCAGUGUUGCCAGUAUGAUGAACAAAAAAGAGUAAGGUAGGGUAGGUAUUAUAUUAUAUAUAUAUUUUUUAAUCCUAGGCUGAAAAUAAUGUCAAGGACUAUAAAUUCGACUAUAUUACGAAUGGUUCCAAAUAAAAAAUAAUUAAAACCAGUUAAUAUAAUUUGUGAUCUACGUUUAGUAUGUAAUCGCGUGUUAUGCGUUUCCAAAUGGCGUCGCUAUUCUAAAUUCUAUAAGCGAUGUAUAGAAUAAAAAGGAGUGUUAUGUCCGUUUUUUAUAAAUAAAGGUUUUGAUAAAGAGUGAGCGGUCAUCAAAAUUUUGUAAAUAUUUUUUUAAAAUGGAAUUCUAUAGGAAAUUUUUCUAAUGUAUUUAGAUUAUUGUAAGUAGUGUGUGUGUGUGUGUGUGUGGCUUUUUGUAUGGAUUGCUUGUUAAACGUGAAAUGCUUAAAGAUAUUCGAGCGGGAACUACUUCUAAAUAACCCGCAGUGUUUCCUACUGAACUACAAAUAAUUUGUUCUAUUCACUAAUAUCAUAUAAAUAAUAUCGAUUCCUUUUUAUUUUGAAACUAAUAAAAAUGUAAGAAUAUUAUUCUGCGUUAUUUUACUGAAUUUUUGUUAUUUUAUUGUGACCCAUCACAAAUGUUUUAAUAUGUGCCCAAUUUUAAGGACGAGUUUGUAAUAAAUGUACAAAUGAUAAUAAUCAGUUGGUAAUUUUAAUGAAAAGCGAGAUGUCGCUCACAAAUUCAUUUCGUAUGAAAUAUUAAACUAUCGACUUUAUUGUUUUAAUAAGAAAAUGUAAUUAUAAACUUCGCUCGCUUAGUUAUUUGAUAAAUAUUAGUGUUACGAGUUUUUUUAACAAAUUUUUAAAUAGAGAUUUUUUUAAAUAUUUCAUUGAGUAUCGUGGUUUGUCUAUUUGAAUUUUUUAAAAAUAAAUGUCUUAAUUUCUUCUAAAAAUAUUUGAAAGUUUUUUUUUUUUUUAAGAUAUUCAAAAAUUGCAUUAAUGUUGUAAGUAAGAUAAUUUUUCUUUCAUAAUUGUCAUUAAGGUACACAUUGCGUUAUUUAUUUACACGAUGGCUGUAUACAUUAGAUGGUCCAUUGUACGAUCUCUGCUUCAGUUAUAAUUAGUUUAAAAUGAGCCUAAUUGCUAUGUGUUUAAAGUUCACAAUGCAAUGAUAUUACAUCUUAUGUAAUUUAUUUAUAUUCUAUUUGUUACACCCGAUAUGUGACGGGUUGAUUUCUUCUCAGCUGUAAGACGGCGUGUGCAUACAACCUGCUCUUAUUGCUGUGAAGGUUGAUUUAUUAUUAUUAUUUUUUUUUUUUUGUGUAUACGGCGCAAAUGACCCAAUAUGAAAAACAUAUAAUAUAAUUUAGGUGGAUUUCAACCUUAACAUAAGAUAUAAAAUCAUUGUAUUUAUAAGAUGUGUACAGAUAUGUAAAUCGAAAUUUGUAAAGGACGUUUAUAAAAUUUUACUAAACUUUUUCACACAAAAUACUGUAUACAUCCUUAUAACUAUAAAAUAAAUGAGAUGUAACGCACUUGUAUUUUUUAUUUUAUUUUAUAAUAUUGUAUUAUUUUUGCUUCUUGUAAGUGUUUUUUUUUUCUGAUCUGAUGUUAUUGAUAAUUCCAGCAUGAAUGUAUAAACGUAAGAUAAAUGUACAGAUUAGUUAAGGUCAGCUGUGCAAGUGAACCGGUGAGCCGAGCGUUGUCUUUGUGACUAUUUAUUAGUAAUGUUGAUAUUUUAUUGUUGACAGUUUGUAAGCUCAUAUCACCGAGUACGGUUGGACAGCGAGACGGUUAUGUGUACCAAAUAAUAUAGAGAAUUAUUGAAAAAAAAAAUAUUUUGUCUUUUCUUUAUACCCUCAUUUUGAA